UUUAGUUUCAGUAAGUUUGUUGGUUUCAUAUUGCACAUUUCGUGCAAUAUGAAACUAACAAACUUACUGAAACAAAA